rnacentral:rRNA from 1 species
UGGGGAAUUUUGGACAAUGGGCGAAAGCCUGAUCCAGCAAUGCCGCGUGAGUGAAGAAGGCCUUCGGGUUGUAAAGCUCUUUUGUCAGGGAAGAAACGGUGAGGGCUAAUAUCCCUUGCUAAUGACGGUACCUGAAGAAUAAGCACCGGCUAACUACGUGCCAGCAGCCGCGGUAAUACGUAGGGUGCAAGCGUUAAUCGGAAUUACUGGGCGUAAAGCGUGCGCAGGCGGUUUUGUAAGUCUGAUGUGAAAUCCCCGUGCUCAACCUGGGAAUUGCAUUGGAGACUGCAAGGCUAGAAUCUGGCAGAGGGGGGUAGAAUUCCACGUGUAGCAGUGAAAUGCGUAGAUAUGUGGAGGAACACCGAUGGCGAAGGCAGCCCCCUGGGUCAAGAUUGACGCUCAUGCACGAAAGCGUGGGGAGCAAACA